GGUGGUGUAUGCAAGUGGUCAAAGCAGCUAGGCUUUCAACCUAGUCCAAGUUAUUGAGUUCGCGGGUUCGAAUCCCGUCGCCACUA
rnacentral:tRNA from 1 species